GCCUACAGCCACACCACCCUGGGAACGCCCGAACUCGUCUGAUCUCGGAAGCUAAGCAGGGUCGGGCCCAGUUAGUACUUGGAUGGGAGACUGCCUGGGAAUAUUGGGUGCCGUAGGCU